rnacentral:SRP_RNA from 1 species
UUGUUGGUUCUCCCGCAACGCUAACUUGUUAACUCGGUCAGGUCCGGAAGGAAGCAGCCAUGGCAGGUGUCGCGUGUGCCGGGAUGUCGCUGGCAAGGCC